rnacentral:rRNA from 1 species
GACGAACCGUGCGAACGUUGUUCGGAAUCACUGGGCUUAAAGGGCGCGUAGGCGGGCUGCUAAGUCUGGGGUGAAAUCCCACGGCUCAACCGUGGAACUGCCUCGGAUACUGGCGGCCUCGAGGGAGGUAGGGGCGUGCGGAACUGUGGGUGGAGCGGUGAAAUGCGUUGAUAUCCACAGGAACUCCGGUGGCGAAGGCGGCACGCUGGACCUUUUCUGACGCUGAGGCGCGAAAGCCAGGGGAGCAAACGGG